rnacentral:rRNA from 1 species
UACGUAGGUGGCGAGCGUUUGUCCGGAUUUAUUGGGUUUAAAGGGUGCGUAGGCGGCUUUGUAAGUCAGUGGUGAAAUACUCCAGCUUAACUGGAGGGGUGCCAUUGAUACUGCGGAGCUUGAGUACAGAUGAGGUAGGCGGAAUUUGACGGUGUAGCGGUGAAAAUGCAUAGAUAUCGUCAAGAACACCGAUAGCGAAGGCAGCUUACUGGGCUGUAACUGACGCUGAUGCACGAAAAGUGUGGGGAUCAAACAGG